AACUAACGCUGGCGGCGUGCCUAACACAUGCAAGUCGUACGAGAAAGCCGGCUUCGGCUGGUGAGUAAAGUGGCGCACGGGUGAGUAACGCGUGGAUAAUCUGCCCUUAAGUGUGGAAUAACGUACCGAAAGGUGCGCUAAUACCGCAUAAUGCCUGGCAACACAAGUUGUCCGGCCAAAGAAGGCCUCUGUUUACAAGCUUUCGCUUCAGGAUGAGUCCGCGUACCAUUAGCUUGUUGGUGGGGUAAUGGCCUACCAAGGCUGCGAUGGUUAGCUGGUCUGAGAGGAUGAUCAGCCACACUGGAACUGAGACACGGUCCAGACUCCUACGGGAGGCAGCAGUGAGGAAUAUUGCGCAAUGGGGGCAACCCUGACGCAGCAACGCCGCGUGAGUGAGGAAGGUUUUCGGACUGUAAAGCUCUGUCGAGCGGGAAGAAGUGUACCAUGGCUAAUAUCCAUGAUAUUUGACGGUACCGCUAGAGGAA
rnacentral:rRNA from 1 species